GGAAGAGCAAGCCUUCUUCUAUCAUACUCUCAAUUUUGGUCAACUUGCACCACAGGGUCUUGGAGGAGAUAGUGUUAGUUGAAGGCUACCGAACCUGGCACACACAGACAACUUCAGCUUUAUAUAGAGAGAGAUUUAGGAUUUCAUACUUCAUUCCAGUAUACUAUCAUAAUGUAUUUAGAUGCAUAGAAUCAUGCAUUUUCCUCUACAAAACCACUUUAAAAUAUAUUUCAGUAAAUGUAAGGCCAAACAUACUAAAUUUCUUUGUUUUUUCCACAAAAUCUCCUUGAAAAUAGAAAGCAUUUUCUAUGCUCAAAUGCACAUAUAUGUACGUACAUACAUAUGUAACCUUUGUGUAGUACUUAAAAUGUACUAAUUCUCUACUUAAGUUUCAUGGUUAAGCUACAGUUUGAAUUCUCACAAAGCACAAAUAUGCCUCAAGCAAAACUAAAAUGGCUGCCGAUGAAAAAAGCAAGAAGAAGGAAUAGGAAAGAAUAUGAUGAAAGGCCACAACUCGUUUUUAUUAGUCAAGUUUUGCUCCUUGGGUUAGCUAUUUUCAAGAGAAAUAUAAUCAGAAAAGGUUAGAAAGGGCCAUUGUUAGACAAUUAGAUAUGUAUCAAAAAAGUUUUGUAUUAAAGUUGUGGUAAAUUGUGCAAGUGUGUGAGAGGGGAAGUUGUGGUGGUCAGUGUGGAAGGGAUUUUGUUUUGUUGUCAGUUUAUGUUUGAAGGUAGUAUCUUGUUUGUGCAGGUUGUCUGUGUGUUUAUCUCAAGAGAUAUUUGAAGUGUCAAGUGUAUUAAAUAACAAAUAUCUUGUGAUAUAUAUAUAUAUAAAGUUGUGUUGCAGGUGUUCAUCUGUAUCGUGUGCACUCCAAUGAGUUAAUAUGAAUUUAUCAGUGUGUGGGCACCUAAUAAAAAAUUCGGUCCUGUUAUU